GAACUUAAGCAUAUCAAUAAGCGGAGGAAAAGAAACUAACAAGGAUUCCCUAGUAACUGCGAGUGAAGCGGGAGAAGCUCAAAUUUAAAAUCUGGUAGUCUUUGGCUGCCCGAGUUGUAAUCUAGAGAAGCGUUAUCCGUGCUGGACCGUGUAUAAGUCUCUUGGAAUAGAGCGUCAUAGAGGGUGAGAAUCCCGUCCAUGACACGGACUCCCGAUGCUUUGUGAUAUGCUCUCGAAGAGUCGAGUUGUUUGGGAAUGCAGCUCAAAAUGGGUGGUAAAUUCCAUCUAAAGCUAAAUAUUGGCGAGAGACCGAUAGCGAACMAGUACCGUGAGGGAAAGAUGAAAAGCACUUUGGAAAGAGAGUUAAACAGUACGUGAAAUUGUUGAAAGGGAAACGCUUGAAGUCAGUCGCGUUGUCUGAGACUCAGCCUUGCUUUUGCUUGGUGUACUUCUUAGUUAACGGGUCAACAUCAAUUUUGGUUGGUGGAUAAAGGUAUUGGGAAUGUGGCACCUUCACGGGUGUGUUAUAGCCCUUUGCCGCAUACACUGACUGGGAUUGAGGACUGCAGCACGCCGUCUUGGCCGGGGGUUCGCCCUACGUAACGUGCUUAGGAUGUUGGCAUAAU
rnacentral:rRNA from 1 species